rnacentral:lncRNA from 1 species
UAGAAAUGAGAAGUGAGAUUCUUAGCAGUGAGGAAACUUCCAUUCUUUUUCAAGGAGCUUCAGCAGGAGAUGCUUUGCCAAAAGAGAGGAUGGACUAAGGAAGAAGAAGACAUAGGAUACUGGAAAUAAGAGAUCCAACCCAGAAGAAAGCAAAGGGAAAUCUCGGCAGCAAGACUAGAGAAGCAGGAGGAUGGAAGGGUGCGAGAGAAGACACAGAACUGAAGAUCAGCUGAUGCCUUUGAGCACAUGUGAAAACACAAGCACAGAGAUGGAACGACAGCAGCGAUGACAAGACAGCAAUUGUGCUUAAGGAAGAAAAUUCCCCAGUCCACAUUCCCCUCGUCUUCUCUGGCUUCAAGCUCUGGCCUCAUGCUCAUCUGCACCUCCCUUCUUCGCUCUUUGCCGGUGGGAGUCAGUCCUCAGCCCUGCUGAUGAAUAAACAUCAUUCUAUCUGUGGCGCCCAAUACAUUUCAGAAACAAUGUUCAGCUUCAAAGUUUGCAGAAUUGCCUGGUCCAGUUUUGUGAACGACCCUAGUGGGACCGCAUUGUCGGCGUGAGGGGCAAAACAAUGGUGCCUCUCUGACAUCACCGAGCACAAGGAGCUCUGUCUCCAGCUGUACAAACAGCACAGGAAAUGAUUUUUUUUUUCCUUCAUGUUAUUUUUUGUCUAUUAAAAUUAUGCAAACCCGGGAAAUACAACAAUUGCUUUUGCUAAGUCUCUGAAAUGUCUUACCAUUCAUUUCCCAAAUAAGGAGGCUGCGGUGCCUUUGAUGCUGAGGAUGGUUAAUCCCAAAUGUGGAG